rnacentral:ncRNA from 1 species
ACCAAGGAGUCUAACAUGUGCGCGAGCCGCGGGGCAGUACGAAACCCGUAAGGCGAAAUGAAGGUGAACGCCGGCGCGGUCCGGCGGAGGUUGGAUCCCGUCCCGUCGGGGCGGGCGCACUACCGGCCGAUCUUCUCCGCCCUGUCGGCGAGGUCGAGCGAGAGCGUGCAAGUCGGGACCCGAAAGAUGGUGAACUAUGCCUGAGGAGGUUGAAGCCAGAGGAAACUCUGGUGGAGGACCGUAGCGAUUCUGACGUGCAAAUCGAUCGUCAAAUUUGGGUAUAGGGGCGAAAGACUAAUCGAACCGUCUAGUAGCUGGUUCCCUUCGAAGUUUCCCUCAGGAUAGCUGGCGCUCUGUCGCAGUUUUAUCUGGUAAAGCGAAUGAUUAGAGGUCUUGGGGGCGAAACGCCCUCAACCUUUUCUCAAACUUUAAAUUGGUAAGAAGGCCGACUCGCUCGUUUGGAGCCGGGCAUGGAAUGCGAGUGCCAAGUGGGCCACUCUUGGUAAGCAGGACUGGCGAUGCGGGAUGAACCGAACGCCGGGUUAAGGCGCCCGACGCGACGCUCAUCAGAGCCCACAAAAGGUGUUGGUUGAUAUAGACAGCAGGACGGUGGCCAUGGAAGUCGGAAACCGCUAAGGAGUGUGUAACAACUCACCUGCCGAAUCAAUCAGCCCUGAAAAUGGAUGGCGCUGGAGCGUCGGGCCUAUACCCGGCCGUCGCGGCGGUACGAGCAUCGAGUUGGUGCGCUAGGCCGCGACGAGUAGGAGGGCCGCG